ensembl:lncRNA
GGAAGCCCAAGUAGCUACCCAGAGAGGUCAACACUGGGGAGAAAUGUGGUUCUGGCCAACAGCAGCAACUGAACACCCACAGCAUGGAGCAAGCCAUAUGAGUUAGCUGUCAUGGAGUGAGUGCUCCGCCCAGUUGAACUGUUCCAGUGACACCAGGCCACCUCUGUCCAGCCUGAAGGGGGACUGAGACAUCCAGAAAGCUGCCUGAUGAAGAAACUGAGUCAAAGGCACAUAGAAGAAAAGAGCAUGCACUACCGACCAUCAGAGAGAGAGGGAGAAUAACCAAUAUCAGAAAUGAAAGAAGCAACGUCACUGUAGAUGCAGAUACUAAAGACAUGAAAGGAC